rnacentral:misc_RNA from 1 species
UCUCCGUUGGUGAACCAGCGGAGGGAUCAUUACAGAGUUGCAAAACUCCCAAACCAUUGUGAACGUUACCUAUCCCGUUGCUUCGGCGGGCGGCCCGGGCCCCGCGCCCGGCGCCCCCCGGCCCCCCGUGGCGCCCGCCGGAGGUAAACCAAACCCUUGAAUUGCGUGGCCUCUCUGAGUCUUCUGUACUGAAUAAGUCAAAACUUUCAACAACGGAUCUCUUGGUUCUG